AAAGGUAAGCUACUAAGAGCGAAUGGUGGAUGCCUUGACUGGUAAAGGCGAUGAAGGACGUACUAGACUGCGAUAAGCUACGGGGAGCUGUCAAGAAGCUUUGAUCCGUAGAUUUCCGAAUGGGGCAACCCAAUGUAUAGAGAUAUACAUUACCUAUAUAGGAGCGAACGA
rnacentral:rRNA from 1 species